UAUUUUCUGCGAAAGCACCGAUACUUCUGGAUCGCAUAAGCUUGCUCAUCAGAUAAUUCAACGACAUGAACUCCUUCCUUGCCAAGUACUUGGGGCUCGCAAUGGUAAUCUUUGCGCUGAACAUUGGAUCCUACCAUGCUGAAGAAAUCACUCCUGAAUUGGCUGCAGCAAUGGCAAAUUUAUUCGGAAGAAACGAAGAGAAGUUUGAAGAGUGACACACUGGCUUUCUUGCUCUCGUAUGACCCAUCGUACUUCGAGAUGCAAGUCUAAUAAAGUUCAGCAAUAUUGAUAACCG